rnacentral:rRNA from 1 species
GAUGAACGCUGGCGGCGUGCCUAAUACAUGCAAGUCGAGCGAACAGACGAGGAGCUUGCUCCUCUGACGUUAGCGGCGGACGGGUGAGUAACACGUGGAUAACCUACCUAUAAGACUGGGAUAACUUCGGGAAACCGGAGCUAAUACCGGAUAAUAUAUUGAACCGCAUGGUUCAAUAGUGAAAGACGGUUUUGCUGUCACUUAUAGAUGGAUCCGCGCCGCAUUAGCUAGUUGGUAAGGUAAUGGCUUACCAAGGCAACGAUGCGUAGCCGACCUUAGAGGGUGAUCGGCCACACUGGAACUGAGACACGGUCCAGACUCCUACGGGAGGCAGCAGUAGGGAAUCUUCCGCAAUGGGCGAAAGCCUGACGGAGCAACGCCGCGUGAGUGAUGAAGGUCUUCGGAUCGUAAAACUCUGUUAUUAGGGAAGAACAAAUGUGUAAGUAACUAUGCACGUCUUGACGGUACCUAAUCAGAAAGCCACGGCUAACUACGUG